GAGCCUGGUGUAGCCAUCUGGUUUGCCAGUCCUCAGUCAAAUCGUCCAACCCAUGCCAGAUGGAAAACGGAUGUUAAACAACGAUGAUGAUGAUGAUGUGUAUCAAAGAUUACAUAGUUCAAUUAUCCUUUAAGUUGACAGGCUGUGAUUUAUCCAACCAAAAGGUGUUGGCCGAAUGUUUAAUGAUUUAUAUCCUGUUAUUCAUACUGUGCUAUGUAAAGCAAGAAACAAUUCUCUGUUAACCAGCUGUUAUUUCCUGUUUUAGAAUGGUGAUGGCGUUCAGUGAUAGACAUGUGUUACACAUUCUGCAGUACAGCAGUACAAAUGUUCUUGUUGGCAAGGGAAACUACUCCAGAUGCUUAAUAAAUUCAUCUACAUAGAGGUUAAUUCCAUGUACAUAUUCUAUGGCAUAGUGUAAAUCUGUAAGGUCCAGGUUUACAGUGAUCGUCAGCUUGUAUCCCUGUUGCAGAUAGAACAUUUUCAUGCAAGAAUAUCAUCAGAAAAAGGUAAUUAAAAUUCAUUACAAUAACAGAUCUAUCGGACUUUUAAAGAGGUCAAGUUGUUGUAUGGCAGGGGCUAGCAUAACGAAAACAGCUGAAAUGCUUGGUGUGUCAAGAAGUACUGUCUUGAAAGUAAUGACAGCCUUUGAAAAAGAGGGAAAAAUCUCCUUGUCGAAACAAAACUCCAGAAGAAAGCCAGAAC